rnacentral:rRNA from 1 species
ACAUGCUUACACCAUAGCAUUAAUGCACCAGAUCCCAUUAAAAAUCCGCAGUUAAGCGUUUUCAAGCUAGAGUUGUACUGGGAUGGGUGACCUCCCGAGAAUUCCUAGUGUUUUACAUGCC